rnacentral:rRNA from 1 species
GACGAACGCUGGCGGCGUGCCUAAUACAUGCAAGUCGAGCGAAGCGGCGGAUGGGUUAGUAACGCGUGGGUAACCUGGCCUGAAGUCUGGGAUACCAUUUGGAAACAGACGCUAAUAGCGGAUACUAGAGGAUGGACAGAGGUUGCAUUAGCUAGUUGGUAAGCUAACGGCUUACCAAGGCGAUGAUGAAUAGCCGAGUUGAGAGGCUGAUCGGCCACAUUGUGACUGAGACACGGCCCAAACUCCUACGGGAGGCAGCAGUAGGGAAUCUUCCACAAUGGACGAAAGUCUGAUGGAGCAACGCCGCGUGAGUGAAGAAGGUGUUCGGAUCGUAAAGCUCUGUUGUUGGUGAAGCGGUAAUCAACCAGAAAGUCACGGCUAACUACGUGCCAGCAGCCGCGGUAAUAC